rnacentral:rRNA from 1 species
GUCCAUGCCGUAAACGUUGGGCACUAGGUGUGGGGCUCAUUCCACGAGUUCCGUGCCGCAGCUAACGCAUUAAGUGCCCCGCCUGGGGAGUACGGCCGCAAGGCUAAAACUCAAAGGAAUUGACGGGGGCCCGCACAAGCGGCGGAGCAUGCGGAUUAAUUCGAUGCAACGCGAAGAACCUUACCAAGGCUUGACAUGCACCGGACGCUGCCAGAGAUGGUGGUUCCGCAAGGUCGGUGCACAGGUGGUGCAUGGUUGUCGU